AGGGCAGACGGUGGAUGCCUAGGCUCUCGGAGGCGACGAAGGACGUGAUAAGCUGCGAUAAGCUACGGGGAUUGGCACAUACAAAUUGAUCCGUAGAUUUCCGAAUGGGGCAACCCGGCAUGUUGAAGACAUGUCACACCGCAGAGCGGUGAGCGAACGUGGGGAACUGAAACAUCUAAGUACCCAUAGGAGAAGAAAACAAAAGUGAUUCCCUUAGUAGUGGCGAGCGAACGGGGACUAGCCCAAACCAGAUUUGUUUCGGCAAAACUGGGGUUGUAGGACCUCGAUAUAGGAAGACAAGAUUAGGAGAACGGUCUGGAAAGGCCGGCCAUAGAGCAUGAAAGCUGUGUAUCCGAAAAUCUUCGUUGGACUUAGAGGUAUCCUGAGUAGCGCGGGACACGUGAAAUCCUGUGUGAAUCUGCGGGGCCCAUCCCGUAAGGCUAAAUACUCCCGAGAGACCGAUAGUGAACCAGUACCGUGAGGGAAAGGUGAAAAGAACCUCGAACAGAGGAGUGCAAUAGACCCUGAACCCGUCUGCCUACAAGCGGUAGGAGCAGCCAUGAGCUGUGACUGCGUGCCUUUUGCAUAAUGAACCUACGAGUUACUUUCUCUGGCAAGGUUAAGUGAUGAAGAGUCACGUGAGCCGAAGCGAAAGCGAGUCUGAAUAGGGCGCUAUAGUCAGAGGGAGUAGACGCGAAACCAAGUGAUCUACCCUUGGUCAGGUUGAAGGUUGGGUAAAACCAACUGGAGGACCGCACCGGUAAGCGUUGAAAAGCUUUCGGAUGAACUGAGGGUAGGGGUGAAAGGCUAAUCAAACUUGGAGAUAGCUCGUACUCCCCGAAAUGCAUUUAGGUGCAGCCUGUGGAGUUUCUUGUGUGAGGUAGAGCGACUGAUUGGAUGCGAGGCUUUCACCGGCUAUCAAGUCCAGACAAACUCCGAAUGCAUACAAGUAAUAUCCAUGGAGUGAGGGCAUGGGUGCUAAGGUCCAUGUCCGAGAGGAGAAGAAUCCAGACCAUCGGCUAAGGUCCCGAAAUAAUAGCUAAGUUGACCAAACGAAGUCAGAGUGCUAAGACAGCUAGGAUGUUGGCUUGGAAGCAGCCAUUCAUUUAAAGAGUGCGUAACAGCUCACUAGUCGAGUGCUUUGGCGUGGAUAAUAAUCGGGCAUAAGCUAUUUACCGAAGCUGUGGGAUGUGUAAACAUCGGUAGGGGAGCAUUCUAGCGGCGCUGAAGGUAGGAGGACAACUUCUGCUGGAGCUUCUAGAAAAGCAAAUGUAGGUAUAAGUAACGAUAAAGGAGGUGAGAAACCUCCUCGCCGAAAGACUAAGGUUUCCUGAUCAACGCUAAUCGGAUCAGGGUUAGUCGGGGCCUAAGGGGAAGCCGAACGGCGCACCCGAUGGAAGAACCGGUUAAUAUUCCGGUACUAAUUAUGUGAGCGAUGUGGAGACGGAGAUGUGACGGUCCUGCCAGCUGACGGAAUAGCUGGUUGAAGGGUGUAGGUGUUGAUUGGGGUAGGCAAAUCCGCCCUGAGAGCUGAACCUGACAGUACUCUGAGUGCUUGCACAAGGAGAUAUGGACAAAGUAACGGUGCUCCCAAGAAAAUCCGCUAAGCAUAUUGCAUGAUUACCCGUACCAUAAACCGACACAGGUGGUUGGGUUGAGUAUACUAAGGCGCUCGAGUGAUUCGCGGUUAAGGAACUAGGCAAAAUAGUCCUGUAACUUCGGAAUAAAGGACGCUCACUUAACAGGUGAGCCGCAGAGAAUAGGCCCAGGCGACUGUUUAACAAAAACACAUGGCUAUGCAAAAUCGAAAGAUACAGUAUAUAGCCUGACACCUGCCCGGUGCUGGAAGGUUAAGAGGAGAUGUCAUCGCAAGAGAAGCAUUGAAUUGAAGCCCCAGUAAACGGCGGCCGUAACUAUAACGGUCCUAAGGUAGCGAAAUUCCUUGUCGGGUAAGUUCCGACCUGCACGAAUGGUGUAACGAUCUGGGUACUGUCUCAACCGCGAGCUCGGUGAAAUUGUAGUAUCGGUGAAGAUGCCGAUUACCCGCAACGGGACGAAAAGACCCCGUGAACCUUUACUAUAGCUUUGCAUUGGAUUUGGGUAACAAAUGUGUAGGAUAGGCCGGAGACUGUGAAGCGGGUACGCCAGUAUUCGUGGAGUCGCCGUUGAAAUACGGCCCUUUUGUUAUUUGGGUUCUAACUCGCUGGAGCGAGGACAUUGCAUGGUGGGUAGUUUGACUGGGGUGGUCGCCUCCAAAAGUGUAACGGAGGCUUCU
rnacentral:rRNA from 1 species